rnacentral:misc_RNA from 1 species
AUAACCCUGGCAACUCUUGUAAAGUCCAACCUCUUUUUGUUCAAUUUCGAAAUGUUUGUUUCUCAUUUUUCUUCCAACGCAACUGGACUCUAUAUAUAAUAUAAUGGAUUUUAAAUGAAAGAAUUUGCUCAAAUAGAAACUAGAAAUUGAAAGAAUUAAACUCCCAUAUUUAAUCCAGUGUGAAAAGAUAGAAACGAGAAGUAUGGGAGGUGAGAGCCACAAUCUUCAAGCAAAAGAACUCCCUAUCUAGGG